AAUAAGUGUAGUUUUGCACUGUUUAUAUCCAACGUUUGACCGUUUAUUAAAUGAUAAAACAUGAAUAAUACUUUAUGUGUGACUAUUUUUAAAAAAUUUUCAAAUAAGAUGGACGAUCAAACGUUGGACACAGAUUACUAUGGCUACACUUAUU
rfam:Oryza glaberrima chromosome 7 Oglab07_0146_6, whole genome shotgun sequence.